UACGGGGGGGGCAAGCGUUGUUCGGAAUUACUGGGCGUAAAGGGCGCGUAGGCGGCCUUCUAAGUCGAACGUGAAAUCCCCGGGCUCAACCCGGGAACUGCGUCCGAUACUGGGAGGCUUGAAUCCGGGAGAGGGAUGUGGAAUUCCAGGUGUAGCGGUGAAAUGCGUAGAUAUCUGGAGGAACACCGGUGGCGAAGGCGGCAUCCUGGACCGGUAUUGACGCUGAUGCGCGAAAGCCAGGGGAGCAAAGCGGG
rnacentral:rRNA from 1 species